rnacentral:lncRNA from 1 species
UAGGGCUCUUCCCCGGUUUAUUCCAAUACGUCCCUCUAUUGAACCAAACCGAAAUACUUUCCCGGUCCGGUUGGGUUUACCAGGUGAUUUUCGAAUUCAAUUGGUCUUUGCCUGAUUUAAAACGUAACGUAAAUUUGAUUUGGCUCUGCUGGAAAACUAGGGGCUGAUCUACAAUAGAUUUUCAGUCUUGUUAGUGUUGUAGGAAAAAUAAACCUUUCAUGGUUUUAUUUUUUUGUGUCUUUAACCUCUUUGUUAUUGUCUUUUACAAUGUCAGAGAUCUUGAUCGUAUUUCAUAAAAAUGGUAUGAUAUUGAUAAUGAAGUUCGGAAAUACGGCUGAAAAUAGAUAAAAGUGGUUGCUCAUGCCUAUAUUGUUUAUAUUCAUUUUUUUAUCAACUAUUGUUUAUAUUCAUAUUCAUAAAAGAAUCUAGUCUGUACUGCAUGUGUUGUCCAAAAAAAAAAAAGAAAGUCUGUACUGCAUGUUAUAUCUGAAGCCAAUAUACCCUCAAAUUCUUUUCUUUUUAUCUCCAAUUCUUCUUCGUUUUAAAGAACCACCCACUCAUAUACAUCAACUUCUUCAUCUUCCCAUUCUCCCUCUUAAAAAAACUCUAAUUCCACAAUUUACAAGAAGUCAAGAGAUUGUUCAUUUGUCACUUCCAAUAGUAAAGAGUAAUACUAUUUGGACAAACUUAACCAGAAAGAACAUUUGAACGUCCAAAUCACUAAGGGUCACAUACCAGAUUUUGACUCUUU